UGGGACACUCCCGACCCCUCGAUGGUGAAACUCUGCCUCGCCCAACCCACAGUCCCAGGGUCGGAUGCACCCGACCCCUCACUGCAAGGUUCCGCCUCGCCCGACCCCGGGCGUAGGAGGUCGGACUCAUCCGGGCCCACAAGGCAAGGGUCCACCUCGGGCGCAGAUUGGCAGACAAGGACGCGGAUCUCGUGGGCCCCUCACCGAUCUUGCCAUAAAUGCGCCGCGGCUCUGGCGCACAGAAAGGCGCCCGCGCCCCUCGACGUGACCGCCACAAGUACCCGGGCAGAACACUGUAGCCACGACCG
rnacentral:lncRNA from 1 species